GUUAGGAAUCUUCCACAAUGGGGGCAACCCUGAUGGAGCAACACCGCGUGCUGGAUGAAGGCCUUCGGGUCGUAAACAGCUUUUGUAUACGAAGAAUAUGACGGUAAUAUACGAAUAAGGGUCGGCUAACUACGUGCCAGCAGCCGCGGUCAUACGUAGGACCCAAGCGUUAUCCGGAGUGACUGGGCGUAAAGAGUUGCGUAGGCGGCUUAUUAAGCGAGUAGUGAAAUCUGGUGGCUCAACCAUCAACACAUUGCUCGAACUGAUAGGCUUGAGAAUGGUAGAGGUAGUUGGAAUUUCUUGUGUAGGAGUGAAAUCCGUAGAUAUAAGAAGGAACACCAAUGGCGUAGGCAGACUACUGGACCAUUUCUGACGCUGAGGCACGAAAGCGUGGGGAGCGAACCGGAUUAGAAACCCCAGUAGUCC
rnacentral:rRNA from 1 species